rnacentral:lncRNA from 1 species
UUAAUAAAACUUAAACUAGUAACUAUAUUCUUAAUGAAGUUCACAAGCAUAAUUCUAAACUCAAAAGAAUCAAGAAUGAGGGCUGAGGAGACAAUUCUUACCAUGAAAACCGAAGAAGAUGAUGAAAACUUGUGGGUUUAUGAUUUUCACCAACAAAGCUUUUUUGUUAGUUGCAGCCGUUGUGUAGGUUUUUGAUUUUCAACGCGGAUGAAGAAUUGUGAGGGUUUCUAAUUUCUAGCGGUAUUUUCUUUUGUGACAUGAAAAAAAAAAAUAUUAUUAUAUAUGUUUAUUUUAUUAAACCAAUGUAAUUUAUAUUUUAAUACACCUUAAUAUUAAAAGAACAUGUGUUUAUACUUCACAUGUGGAGGAUACAAUAAGUAAAAAAAGUUAUAGUACCCCUUAUUUGGGUUAAUCAGGUUAACCCGCAACCGAUUUUUUUUUAAAAAAUCAACCCUAAACUCAAUCCUAAAUGCAACUCGGGUAUGUCGGGUUAACCAGAAUAACGCGAUUUAAAAUUUUAACACUAUUAAACCUGACUCUAAGUAUCGGGUUCGGGUUCGGGUUCGGGUCGUGUUAAUUGGGUUCAGGUUUUUGACACCACUAAUUACAAUCAACUGAUAAACAAAAAAAAAAAAACUAAUAAUCUUGCACAAAUAAAAACACUCUUAAAUCCCUCAUUUGAUUUGUAGAUUUCAUGCACUCCUCCUUCAACCCAAUAAAACACCCAAACGCCCCUGCUGCUACUGAUUUCUGCUUCCCCUCUUCCUCCUCACCAUUGUUGUUGCUUUACUCUUUACAUCCCCCUUCUCCACUCUCCCUGUGAAUCUCAACAGCAAAACACCCCUUAAAUUUCUGCCAAAAGACCUCAUCGAAAGUGGUGUUCGUUUUUUUUUCCGGCGAACAAGAAGGGCAGCAACCCUUGAUUUGCUUCCUACUUCUUUCCCAUCAGUUGGACCAACCUUUCUUCUCCUUUAGCUUCCUUCCUGUGAAAAAUCAAACCCAAACACACACCCAAAACCCCAUUGAUUUCAGUCAAAACAAAAAGAGAAAACAAAAUCGGAAUCAACAUGGAAACUGCCGAAUGUAGCCCCAUUCCCUCACCUGUUUCCUCUAUCGAUGACCAAGCAAGACCUCUCGCACAUCUCUUCUUCUUUCCUCGAUCAAACACCACAGGACGACCCUCCUACCAUCUUCUGUCGUUUUGUUCUUCUUCCCCUCGAUUCAUGACCGCCAGUGACGAAACAGAUGGACCAAGGGGGAACUCGCCGGAGAUCGAUACCUUCCUCCCCUCGCGCUCGUCAAGCACCGCCGCAACUUCAAUCGGCGGUAGCCCUUGCUCAUCUACUCCCUUGCUUGAUCGAAUCCUUCCCAUCCCCGAUUAUACGAGGAUAAUAAUCGGAGAUGCUUCUUCUUGCGAUAGUUCGACAAACAACGGGCCCAAAGAAACCCCUGCCUUCGCGCCUCCUUCUCAUCUACCGACGAUUCGUUUGGACGUUCCAUCUGUAUCCGUUCGAACGUGUUCUUUUCUGU